UUUGCUUUUUAUUUAUGAUACUUCUAAAUUUACUCUAAUAAUUUAAUAUGUUAUAUUUUCCAUGUAACAUACCAACUUAGCCUCGUUUUUCUGUAGUUGGUAAUAUUUGUCUUUUUGUUCUGCCCCUAAUUGGUGGUGUGGAUAGCCUUACAGGGUCGCAAUAGAGUAGCAAUCUGACUUGAAUGUUUGUUGAUUAGAUAAAAUAAUGGUAAUGAUGUUUAUCCUAAGAUGAUUAAGCUAGAAUUUCCACCCCAAACAUGCUUUCUAUAAUUAAUCGCCUAAUCUUUUGUGUGUUUCUGGUGAGGUGCCUGGUAUUCUUACUAGAUAUGCUACUCUUUGUUUCAGUCUUAUAUAAAGCUAAAACAAAAGGGAUUGGAAAAACAGAUCACUUGUUCAAUACGUAUGCAAAUAGUUCCUUAGGCAUGAUUGAGUAAGUACAUUCCGUGCACAUUCUUUAUAUUUUUAGAGCUAAAAGCAUGGUGGUAUCAACUUUUUCUCUGGCUAAAUGGGUGAUCGGUAUCAUCAUUUAUGAAUAGAAAAUAAUAGAAGGCUGAAUAAAUUUAUUAUAUUUAUCCAAUUCAUGCUGUUAAUUUUCAAGGUCAAGAAUCUUUCUCAAACUUAUGGUUCUUAGAGGUGUUAAAUCUAGUUAUCAUUUCUUUUAAAUCGCCAUUUGAACAUGAUGUCAAUGAAAAGCUUGUGAACCUUCUUAAAUUGUUGUUUGAACAUAAUUUCUCACAUUUUAUUGUAUGGUAUGUAGAGAUAUUUCAUUGGGUCAAAAAGUGAUGAGUUUCGCCGGAAAGAAAGAGCUGUGCCAUUUUUUUAAAAGAAAAAUCCUUACCUGACUGUUAAAGAAAUUUUGAUCAUUUUGAUGCGAGGCGAUAAACUGUAACAAAUGUAAUUUGUCUGGAAAUUUUUAACAUAUGCCCUACCGGAAGCAAAAGGAGAGAUUUUCUUUAGAUGAUUGCUUGCUUAUCCUUUUUUAAUCCCUUAGUUUGCUUGAGCAGUCCAGAAGGUAUUGAAGCACAAUGUGCAGAUCUAGACGUGGAUUACACUGAUGUGAGGAUAUUGAUGCGAGCUUGGAAAUUAAAGCUGAAAAGCAGGGCUAUUUUACAUAUUUAAGUAAAGACACUACUUAUAUGACUUGUUAUAUUCAACGGGAUACCAGAAUAGAGAAUGUGAACUGCCGUUAGAUGAAUGACCACUUUUUUCCUUCUCUUGCAUUGAACUAGGAUGAGUGGCAAACUGGCCUGAAAGCAUUGGGGGUCCAGCGAGGAGUUCCUCUUUGAGCUGACUAAGCCACAGAUUGGUUUCAGUCAAAAUGAUUUCGAACCCUUGGAUAAUAUAAUGAUGUACAUGAUCAAAUCGGAGUUAAAUAAGGAGUCCCCAUUGUUGGAUGGAGAAUUUGGAUUCGAUGCGUACUCCCUUGGAUCAUGUAUAUGAGAAGGCUGAUGCUGAUUCUAAGAUAAAAGAUGGUUGCUUCAUUUAAUAUCUUGUCGAAAAUUAUGACAUCUUCCUUU